rnacentral:rRNA from 1 species
AUUGAACGCUGGCGGCAUGCCUUACACAUGCAAGUCGAACGGUAACAGGUCUUCGGAUGCUGACGAGUGGCGAACGGGUGAGUAAUACAUCGGAACGUGCCUAGUAGUGGGGGAUAACUACUCGAAAGAGUGGCUAAUACCGCAUGAGAUCUACGGAUGAAAGCAGGGGAUCGCAAGACAUUGGGCUACUAGAGCGGCCGAUGGCAGAUUAGGUAGUUGGUGGGAUAAAAGCUUACCAAGCCGACGAUCUGUAGCUGGUCUGAGAGGACGAACAGCCACACUGGGACUGAGACACGGCCCAGACUCCUACGGGAGGCAGCAGUGGGGAAUUUUGGACAAUGGGCGCAAGCCUGAUCCAGCAAUGCCGCGUGCAGGAUGAAGGCCUUCGGGUUGUAAACUGCUUUUGUACGGAACGAAAAGCCCUGGGUUAAUACCCUGGGGUCAUGACGGUACCGUAAGAAUAAGCACCGGCUAACUACGUGCCAGCCGCCGCCGUAA